rnacentral:rRNA from 1 species
GAUGAACGCUAGCGGCAGGCCUAAUACAUGCAAGUCGAACGGUGUAGCAAUACACAGUGGCGCACGGGUGCGUAACACGUAUGCAACCUACCUUACAUUGGGGGAUAGCCUUUCGAAAGGGAGAUUAAUACCGCAUAAGACAGUAACUAGGCAUCUAGUAGCUGUUAAAGAUUUAUCGAUGUAAGCUGGGCAUGCGUCCAAUUAGUUAGUUGGCGAGGUAAUGGCUCACCAAGACGAUGAUUGGUAGGGGAACUGAGAGGUCAAUCCCCCACACGGGCACUGAGAUACGGGCCAGACUCCGACGGGAGGCAGCAGUAGGGAAUAUUAGGCAAUGGGCGCAAGCCUGACCCAGCCAUGCCGCGUGCAGGAAGAAGGCGUUAUGCGUUGUAAACUGCUUUUAUACAGGAAGAAACGACUCUUGCGAGAGGCAUUGACGGUACUGUAUGAAUAAGCACCGGCUAACUCCGCGCCAGCCGCCGCGGUAAUAC